UUCUCUUCCUCUCUGCCCCUCCUCCACUCACGUGCUCUCUCUCAAAUAAAAGAUAAAAAGCACAUAACCUUUAAGAAAAAACACAGCCUUGAACGGCCAUACUAUUAAGAAUAAGGGAACUCAUCUAAGUUUAUAAAGGAAUUGAUUUUGACAAGAGUAGAACUGACAAGAGUAAUACUUAAUGUAUUACAUAAAAGAUACAAAAUUGAAUUUUUACCCUAUUUGAAACUAUGAAAAUCACACAGAAAACAAUUUGGCAGUUCCAGGCAAAGUUAAACACAGAGUGACCGUAUGGUCCAGUAAUUCUAUUCCUGGUUGUAUCUGAAAACGUGUUUGCACAAAAACUUGCACCUGAGCGGUCACUGCAGUGUUGUUCAUAAUAGUCCUAAAGUGGAGACAACCCAAAUGUCCGUGACCAAAUGAGUAGAUAAGCCAGAUGUGGAGGAUUAUCUGACCAUAAAAAGGAAUGAAGUGCUGAUACCCACUUCACCAUGGAGGAACCUUAAAAACAGUAUGUUAAGUGAAAGAAGCCAAACGCAAAGGGCCAUAUAAUAUAUGACUACCUUUGCAUGAAAUGUCCAGGACCGCCAAAUCCAGAGAGGAGACCUGUGCUGUCAGGCUGAAGGGGAUACAGGUCACUGAAUCCAAGGCCACCUGUGGAGGGAAGAGUUGAGAUGUCAGUGAGAACCUCCAGCACUUCCAGAAGGAAGUGGCCCUGCUGACUGACACCUUGACUUUGGCCCCAGUGAAGCUGAUCUGGCACUUCUGGCCUUCGGAAGUGUAACAGACUAGACCGGCAUCAUUUGAAGUCCCUGAGUUUGUGAUGCUAAUCUCAGUUUUAUGAGUAACAAGUUGGACAAAUCACAGACACCUGGGUACUUCACCUUCUAAGAUUAGUGACCGCUCAGGCCCCAUCGGACGCAAUCGUUACCAACGCCUUUGACCCUGAGGCCCUGCUGUUGGAGGUCCUCCGUUCGACUAGGCAACAUUCGUACCCUCCUAACUCAAUCCUGGGCUCAAGGCCUCAAUGACAGGGUCCCUCACUGGUGGUAACUGCCAUGUGACCGGCCGGCUGCCCGGAAUCCUGCUUUGUUUUCACUCUCAACGCCUUUGCCAACUCGUCUCGGCCGUAAGCUCCCAGGAACCAUUCCUGACCAUCUCUGUAUAACCACCACCCUGUCCUGUCCAGCCCCGCCAUCCCUGCCAGCUCUCACUCCCACACUUUGUGCUAUGUGGGCACUUCGCAGUGAGUCCAAAGCCACUGGGGCAGGGUUAAGAGCAGAACCUAUGGCAGUGACUGACUAGUCAUCACCAGAUUGACCCAGGGUCAAUUUUGGCGGCCUCUUCCUUAGCAGUCAGCUUAGCAGUGAAGGUCUGGCACAUGCUGCCAUAGCACAGGCUUCAAUAAGUGGCUAAUGAAGAAAUGAAUAAAAGAGCUAUUUCAACAUA